GUGGAGCAUGUGGCUUAAUUUGACUCAACGCGGGAAAUCUUACCGGGUCCGGACACACUGAGGAUUGACAGGCAAUAUUAGCACUUAGCUUCGGCGACGUGUUAUGUUAAAUAUGCUAGUCCUUUCAUGAUUAUGUGAUAGGUGGUGCAUGGCCGUUCUUAGUUCGUGGAGUGAUCUGUCUGCUUAAUUGCGUUUCACCAAGGGCCUAUAAUUUUACGUGUGUUGCGGCACUUUGACCCCUCUUUUUUUAAAGAGCGCGUGUCUUGGUUUGCUUAGCUCGCACAAUUAGGUCCUGAAAGCAACGAACGUGACCGCAACCUCUUGUUGCCUUUAUACCAAACGUGCAUAUGUAAUUUUUUAAUUGCUUUGCGCGCAAAAAGGCUUUUUAAACUAGAGGGACCGCUGUUACUUUCUUAAACCAGAGGAAGGUUGCGGCAAUAACAGGUCUGUGAU
rnacentral:rRNA from 1 species